rnacentral:rRNA from 1 species
AUGGUUGGACUCAUAGGGAGGGAGCCAAGUGUACAAGGGAAGUCUGCCGGUGCAAGUUAUCAUUGGAUUGCUGAACACUUUGGGGAAUGCCCGGCUGAUGCGGACGAUGAAACAGUGCACCAGUAUACCAGGGCAUACUUGUGGUAUGUAGUCAGCCGGACUCUUUUCUCUGACGGCACUAGCGUCAACGCUUCCUUUAUGUGGCUUAAGCUGUUUGCUGGGUGGGAGCAUGGACUCAGUUGGGGUACAGCGGCGUUAUUUGUAUCGCUAGGUAAGUAG